GGUUCGAUGGUGUAGUUGGUUAUCACGUUCGCCUCACAAUCCGUGUGCGCGAAAGGUCGCGAGUUCGAGCCUCGCUUGAAUCA
rnacentral:tRNA from 1 species